rnacentral:tRNA from 1 species
ACGCCCAUAGCUCAGUUGGAUAGAGCGUCGGACUACGAAUCCGAAGGUCAGAGGUUCGAAUCCUCUUGGGCGUA